ensembl:lncRNA
AUGAGUGGGUGGUGUGGGAGAAGCAGGGUCAGAGACCUGCAUGGGGUGGAGAGAGGUUGCAGGCCUGGUUCAGCUGCCCCAAUUCCACAUAAAGCCACAGUUAAGGCCGGGUCCUGGGCCUCCGUUUCCCCCUCUGUACACGUGGAAACGGUCCCUCCCUGUGGCAGUGGCGGGACCUGGCCUCAGCUCCCUGGGCCCCCGUCUAUGUCGCCUGGACCUGGGCAGCUGAAACACCCCUUCCCCUUCCACGAGGACCGAGUCAGAGGCCUGAGCAGGGCCGGGCUCUCUGCUGCAGGGCGGCAGACUUGGGGUGGGAGCCCCCGGAGGAGGACGAGAGAACAGGGAGCCAGAGGGAGGCAGGAGUGGCCCUGGGAUCCUAUGGAAGUGUAAAGGGGGUGACUCAGGCUCAGUGAGGUGAAGGGACUUGCCAGGGUCACACAGUUAACAGGCGGUGGCACCGGUUUGCCUGACUCCAGAGACCUUGCUGUCAGCCUGAAGCUGCCACAGCUCCCCAAAACAGCAUCACCCAUGCUGAGUUCGGAGCUACCCCAGCUCUAGACAUGCGUGCGUGCACUUCGGACACAAGCAUGCCUAGGGAAGCUGCGUAUCACCCACUUCUUGGAACAAAGCACACAGUGGCCCGUUGAAGGCUCCGAGGGAAACCCCACAGGAGCAAAACCUGCCAUGUUCAGCAUGGGGUUCCCAGACCCCUGUGGCCAUGGAACCCUUUUGGGGACCAGGGCACUUUUUAACAUACAUUCUAUUCAUUGGACAUUUGUUGAGCAUGUGCUACAUGCCAGGGACUGAGGAGCAGAGCAGGCUUGGUCCCUGUCCUCCGGGAGCGAUGGCCCCAGUGAGGCGCCUUCCCUGGGCCACACCCUAAGACAGGGCAUCAGGUCAGGAAGGCUGCCUGUCCUCUCUGCUGUCCCUCCCCACUGGGAGACAGCGCUCAGAGGUGGGGCCGAGGCAGCUGGUGGGGGUGGCCCUGGGAGGGUGGGGUGGCCCUAGGAGGACGGGGGUGGCCCUGGGAAGCCUGGUAAUCUUUGGUUGGAUGGCCAGGCAUGCCUUACCAGCAGUGUGACAGGAAGGAGAGGUGUGAGAAGGAGAGGUGACACCAACCCAGUCCUCAGGGAAAGGGUAUGUGGCUUGGCUUUUGGCCCCAGCUGGCUGGAUCCUAUGUCGAGGGCUGGGUUUGUUAGGGGACUCCCUCUGCCAGCAACCCCCAGCAUGCAUUUCCACUCCUGCAUCAGAAUGCCUUGACUAAGAUGAUGACUUCAGGGGGGUCAAAGCCACUGAGAUUGGCAGCCUCUUGCCCAGAUGCUCUGGAAACCAGCCAAGCCAGCCCAGGCAGGCUUCCUGGAGGAGGAGGUCCUGGAGUCAGGCCAGAGAGAACAGCACAGCUUGGGCACCUGUGGGGAGGCUGCGGAUAGUAAUGGUGAGAACCAAGGGCUUGGGGAGGGACCAGAAAGGCGAGUUCCAAUAUUAGCCCCAGGCUUGGCAGCUGUGAACCUCAGGAAAACAACAUGACUCCUGCAGGCCUCCAUGUCUUCAUCUGUAAAAUUGGAUAAUGAUGGACCUGGAGGUGGCCCUUCAGGCCCUCACCCAGGGUGGUUGAUGGAAAGAUUCUGCCACUGGCAGUAUGGGCCAGGGAGAGGAAACAGAGGGCUGCUCACAUUUGCCUUCCCCUCUGCAAAGUGAGAAUCGGGAAAAUACUCCUUGACCUGAAAAAGCCCCAACUGGACGCUCCUGUGGGUCCGUCACGGACACGACUUUGCAAAUCAGAUGUGACAGGGAAAUGUGUGCCGAGAUGGUGGCCAGCUGCUGGGCUGGGGGGGAGGGGCUGCUCAGGGACCCCCACGACUUCCUCCGAGAACAGACGCC